rnacentral:rRNA from 1 species
GACGAACGCUGGCGGCGUGCUUAACACAUGCAAGUCGAACGGAAAGGCCCUGCUUUUGUGGGGUGCUCGAGUGGCGAACGGGUGAGUAACACGUGAGUAACCUGCCCUUGACUUUGGGAUAACUUCAGGAAACUGGGGCUAAUACCGGAUAGGAGCUCCUGCUGCAUUGUGUGGGUUGGAAAGUUUCGGCGGUUGGGGAUGGACUCGCGGCUUAUCAGCUUGUUGGUGGGGUAGUGGCUUACCAAGGCUUUGACGGGUAGCCGGCCUGAGAGGGUGACCGGCCACAUUGGGACUGAGAUACGGCCCAGACUCCUACGGGAGGCAGCAGUGGGGAAUAUUGCACAAUGGGCGGAAGCCUGAUGCAGCAACGCCGCGUGCGGGAUGACGGCCUUCGGGUUGUAAACCGCUUUCGCCUGUGACGAAGCGUGAGUGACGGUAAUGGGUAAAGAAGCACCGGCUAACUACGUG